rnacentral:rRNA from 1 species
CCCCUAGACGUUCUGGGCCGCACGCGCGCUACACUGACCAGUGCAACAAGCAUCCGUCCUUGGCCGACAGGCCCGGGCAAUCUUUGAACGCUGGUCGUGAUGGGGAUAGACUUUUGCAAUUUUUGGUCUUCAACGAGGAAUUCCUAGUAAACGCAAGUCAUCAACUUGCAUUGAUUACGUCCCUGCCCUUUGUACACACCGCCCGUCGCACCUACCGAUUGAAUGGUCCGGUGAAGCCUCCGGAUUGGCGCGCACCCCGGUGCCGCCGAGAAGUUGGCUAAACCUUACCAUUUAGAGGAAGGUGAAGUCGUAACA